GGACAGCUACCUACAGGAUGGGCUGUUUCUGUGCUCUGCUUCUUACAUGUGUCAUUGCAAAUUGGUGUGGGUAAUGGGUAGGACAUGUGUGUGAAAUAUUUUGUUCAGCUGUUAACAUUUUUCAGUGCCCUUGUGCCAUAUGGAUUAAAUUGUUCAGAGUCAUGUAGCAACACUACUCUCAACAUUUGGCUGGGCUCGGAGGUCUUGCUCCCAUGCAGCCUUUUGAAAAGUGGAAAAACCGAAGAAGUCAGGUGGAGCCAAACUUCCAGCCUUCUGAGCAUCGGGUCUUCUGGAAAUGUCACCUUUGAGGAUCCUAGGGAUGGCAGAUUGACAGCAUUCCCCUUCCUGUUUGGCAGAGGAAACUUUUCCAUCCUCGUUCAUCAGUUUCAGGCCUCUGACCUGGGCAUCUACUGCUGUCAGCUGAGCCACGAGUGCCAGAGAGUCGAAAUAAAGCUCUCGCAAAGUUCAGAAAGUCACAAAGGAGGCUUAAAUUUCCCAUGGUACUACAUUGUUGCUGGAGUUGGAAUAUUUAUUCUGCUUGUGACUGUAUUUUGUCUUAUCUACAAAUUCAGAGGAAAGUGUCUAAACAGUGCAUCUGAUUCUUAUUACGUCAACCAAGGUUACCAUGACAAUGAUGUCUAUGAAAAUGAUGAGCACAAUCCCAAACAAAAGUCAAAAGUCCCCCCAAAAGCAGCAGCAGCUUUCAGAAAAAUGCCAAAUCAGCAGCCGGGUUCAGUAGGACUGUACUAUGCCAAUCAGUCAGAGAUAGACAAGUCUCGCUGUGCUAGGAACAGAAACAAAGACAAAGAAUAUCAGUUCAAAAAUCCAUUAUAUGACCGAACUCCAGCAAACAAUAAAUAAACAGUCAUCUUCCAACUCACUGAAAACAUGCCUGUUUAAGUUUAUGUACUGUAAUAUUCUGUAAUGGUAUUGUUCCACUGGAUUUGUGACUUAGGAAAUAGUGAAAAUGGGUACAUGGUUCUGGUUUAUACUGCAUAAAGAUGUCUGAGGUCGUGUAUCAGUGUGAUUUCUUUCAUUGUUUAUCAGGCUUAAUCAUCAUCAGUUAUAUACUUUUGAGAUAUUUUUUCUUGUGAAGAUAAAUCAAUAAAUAGGUCCUUAACUCUUUCUUUUGAGUCUGAUUAUUUUGUGCUGAGUUUCUGAUUAAUGCAGUAUUUAUGAAGCUAAAAAUCUUUCCUCCUAGGCUCGUUUUUAGAUCUAUGAGGCCUUCUGUCUUCAGCAUGUGCGUCUGCUAGAGAGAGAAUGUUCUUCAGAUUAUCACAAGUCAAACGAUUUUCACUGUAUGUCAUUUUGUUUUUGUAAAAACCGUUAGAUUAGAGAUGCAGUUCAACCUAAUCAAGGUUACACGGACCCAGGCCAGUGGGAAGAUAGAGAGAGGCUGCAACAGAAGAUACCGGGGUGACAGUCAGAGAAAAGCUCUUAUGGCUUAGUGAUUUUUACUGAAAUAAAAUUAUACAGCACAACCUUGCAUUAUUUUAAUAAAUCUAAAUAAUAGAUUUUGUGCAUUUUUUU
ensembl:lncRNA